rnacentral:pre_miRNA from 1 species
GUGGUACUCCCUCCGUCCGGAAAUAUUUGUCAUCAAAAUGGAUAAAAGGGGAUGUAUCUAGAUGUAUUUUAGUUCUAGAUACAUCUCCUUUUAUUCAUUUUAAUGACAAGUAUUCUCGGACGGAGGGAGUACUAC